rnacentral:rRNA from 2 species
GCCUAAUACAUGCAAGUCGAACGAACUCUGGUAUUGAUUGGUGCUUGCAUCAUGAUUUACAUUUGAGUGAGUGGCGAACUGGUGAGUAACACGUGGGAAACCUGCCCAGAAGCGGGGGAUAACACCUGGAAACAGAUGCUAAUACCGCAUAACAACUUGGACCGCAUGGUCCGAGUUUGAAAGAUGGCUUCGGCUAUCACUUUUGGAUGGUCCCGCGGCGUAUUAGCUAGAUGGUGGGGUAACGGCUCACCAUGGCAAUGAUACGUAGCCGACCUGAGAGGGUAAUCGGCCACAUUGGGACUGAGACACGGCCCAAACUCCUACGGGAGGCAGCAGUAGGGAAUCUUCCACAAUGGACGAAAGUCUGAUGGAGCAACGCCGCGUGAGUGAAGAAGGGUUUCGGCUCGUAAAACUCUGUUGUUAAAGAAGAACAUAUCUGAGAGUAACUGUUCAGGUAUUGACGGUAUUUAACCAGAAAGCCACGGCUAACUACGUGCCAGCAGCCGCGGUAAUACGUAGGUGGCAAGCGUUGUCCGGAUUUAUUGGGCGUAAAGCGAGCGCAGGCGGUUUUUUAAGUCUGAUGUGAAAGCCUUCGGCUCAACCGAAGAAGUGCAUCGGAAACUGGGAAACUUGAGUGCAGAAGAGGACAGUGGAACUCCAUGUGUAGCGGUGAAAUGCGUAGAUAUAUGGAAGAACACCAGUGGCGAAGGCGGCUGUCUGGUCUGUAACUGACGCUGAGGCUCGAAAGUAUGGGUAGCAAACAGGAUUAGAUACCCUGGUAGUCCAUACCGUAAACGAUGAAUGCUAAGUGUUGGAGGGUUUCCGCCCUUCAGUGCUGCAGCUAACGCAUUAAGCAUUCCGCCUGGGGAGUACGGCCGCAAGGCUGAAACUCAAAGGAAUUGACGGGGGCCCGCACAAGCGGUGGAGCAUGUGGUUUAAUUCGAAGCUACGCGAAGAACCUUACCAGGUCUUGACAUACUAUGCAAAUCUAAGAGAUUAGACGUUCCCUUCGGGGACAUGGAUACAGGUGGUGCAUGGUUGUCGUCAGCUCGUGUCGUGAGAUGUUGGGUUAAGUCCCGCAACGAGCGCAACCCUUAUUAUCAGUUGCCAGCAUUAAGUUGGGCACUCUGGUGAGACUGCCGGUGACAAACCGGAGGAAGGUGGGGAUGACGUCAAAUCAUCAUGCCCCUUAUGACCUGGGCUACACACGUGCUACAAUGGAUGGUACAACGAGUUGCGAACUCGCGAGAGUAAGCUAAUCUCUUAAAGCCAUUCUCAGUUCGGAUUGUAGGCUGCAACUCGCCUACAUGAAGUCGGAAUCGCUAGUAAUCGCGGAUCAGCAUGCCGCGGUGAAUACGUUCCCGGGCCUUGUACACACCGCCCGUCACACCAUGAGAGUUUGUAACACCCAAAGUCGGUGGGGUAACCUUUUAGGAACCAGCCGCCUAAG